AGAGUUUGAUCAUGGCUCAGGACGAACGCUGGCGGCACGCUUAACACAUGCAAGUCGAACGAGAGAAGAGGAGCUUGCUUUUCUGAUCCAGUGGCGGACGGGUGAGUAACACGUGAGCAAUCUGCCUUUCAGAGGGGGAUACCGAUUGGAAACGAUCGUUAAUACCGCAUAACAUAAUUGAACCGCAUGAUUUGAUUAUCAAAGAUUUAUCGCUGAAAGAUGAGCUCGCGUCUGAUUAGCUAGUUGGUAAGGUAACGGCUUACCAAGGCGACGAUCAGUAGCCGGACUGAGAGGUUGAUCGGCCACAUUGGGACUGAGACACGGCCCAGACUCCUACGGGAGGCAGCAGUGGGGAAUAUUGCACAAUGGAGGAAACUCUGAUGCAGCGAUGCCGCGUGAGGGAAGAAGGUUUUAGGAUUGUAAACCUCUGUCUUCAGGGACGAAAAAAGACGGUACCUGAGGAGGAAGCUCCGGCUAACUACGUGCCAGCAGCCGCGGUAAUACGUAGGGAGCGAGCGUUGUCCGGAAUUACUGGGUGUAAAGGGAGCGUAGGCGGGAUCGCAAGUCAGAUGUGAAAACUAUGGGCUUAACCCAUAAACUGCAUUUGAAACUGUGGUUCUUGAGUGAAGUAGAGGUAAGCGGAAUUCCUAGUGUAGCGGUGAAAUGCGUAGAUAUUAGGAGGAACAUCAGUGGCGAAGGCGGCUUACUGGGCUUUAACUGACGCUGAGGCUCGAAAGCGUGGGGAGCAAACAGGAUUAGAUACCCUGGUAGUCCACGCCGUAAACGAUGAUUACUAGGUGUGGGGGGACUGACCCCUUCCGUGCCGCAGCAAACGCAAUAAGUAAUCCACCUGGGGAGUACGACCGCAAGGUUGAAACUCAAAGGAAUUGACGGGGGCCCGCACAAGCAGUGGAGUAUGUGGAUUAAUUCGAAGCAACGCGAAGAACCUUACCAGGUCUUGACAUCGUAUGCAUAGCUCAGAGAUGAGUGAAAUCUCUUCGGAGACAUAUAGACAGGUGGUGCAUGGUUGUCGUCAGCUCGUGUCGUGAGAUGUUGGGUUAAGUCCCGCAACGAGCGCAACCCUUACUGUUAGUUGCUACGCAAGAGCACUCUAGCAGGACUGCCGUUGACAAAACGGAGGAAGGUGGGGAUGACGUCAAAUCAUCAUGCCCCUUAUGACCUGGGCCUCACACGUACUACAAUGGCUGUCAACAGAGGGAAGCAAAGCCGCGAGGUGGAGCGAACCCCUAAAAGCAGUCUUAGUUCGGAUUGUAGGCUGCAACCCGCCUACAUGAAGUCGGAAUUGCUAGUAAUCGCAGAUCAGCAUGCUGCGGUGAAUACGUUCCCGGGCCUUGUACACACCGCCCGUCACGCCAUGGGAGUCGGUAACACCCGAAGCCUGUAGUCUAACCGCAAGGAGGACGCAGUCGAAGGUGGGAUUGAUGACUGGGGUGAAGUCGUAACAAGGUA
rnacentral:rRNA from 1 species